rnacentral:rRNA from 1 species
UACAGAGGGUGCGAGCGUUGUUCGGAAUCAUUGGGCGUAAAGGGCGUGUAGGCGGUUUGUUAAGUCAUGUGUGAAAUCCCUCGGCUCAACCGGGGAAGGACGCAUGAAACUGGCAAGCUAGAGUACCAAAGAGGGGGGUGGAAUUCCCGGUGUAGCAGUGAAAUGCGUAGAUAUCGGGAGGAACACCUGUGGCGAAGGCGGCCCCCUGGUUGGAUACUGACGCUGAUACGCGAAAGCGUGGGGAGCAAACAGG